rnacentral:rRNA from 2 species
UACGUAGGGUGCAAGCGUUAAUCGGAAUUACUGGGCGUAAAGCGUGCGCAGGCGGUUUGGUAAGACAGAUGUGAAAUCCCCGGGCUCAACCUGGGAAUUGCAUUUGUGACUGCCCGGCUAGAGUGUGUCAGAGGGGGGUAGAAUUCCACGUGUAGCAGUGAAAUGCGUAGAGAUGUGGAGGAAUACCGAUGGCGAAGGCAGCCCCCUGGGAUAACACUGACGCUCAUGCACGAAAGCGUGGGGAGCAAACAGG